AUCAGACCGGAUCGGUUGAGUUCCUAGCCAAGAAUCGCGAUGGCUGUAUUUCAUAUCUGUUCCUGCCAUGAAUCUCUUUCACUCCAUAUCUGACUUUGCAGCAUCUCUUGCUCCACUGUAGUGACUCUGCAUGGAUCCUUAUCAAUCUCUGUUGGACUGGCUGUUAUCCUUUAUCAUUGGUCAUAUACUGAUUCUUUGAAGUCCCCAUUGGCUAUAGCAGCUAGAGUCAAACGCAGCUGGUCUCCUUGGGUUUUCUCUUAAAAUUUACUUACACUUGGAUUACAUUUAUAUAGAGGUUCUCUUUGACAAAUGUCAUCUUGCUGAAAUAGUUGACUCCACACAUCUCAGGGGACAGGAUAAUGCCCAUUAAUUAUUAAUUCAGUUACCUCCAAUCGUGAACAUGGUUGCAUAGUGAAGGAACAUGGGGAUUGGACAUAGGUUUUUAUCUGGCAGUGUCUUGCGAGAUUGAAAUUCCUUUUGCUUUGCCUCAGACGUGGUUACUCUCCCUGUCUCCCAGUCUAAAUGAGGUAAUACAGAAUCUAGCUUCUUGAUGUUCUUUAAAACAUACACAUGGUCUCAGGAGUACUAGAGUAUGUGUUCAUGUUGAGAAGAACUGUACAAAGAAAGCCAGGCAAAGAUAAAAGAUGGAACAUGCUUCUUUUGCCUACUCCCAAGGAAACUCCAUUAUCCUUGAAAGGCCAUGUGACUGCUCAAAGCCCAAUGUGAGUCGAAAGAAGAAUCCACAAGGACAAGCUUAGUGUGAGCCGAAAAUGAAGUUGUUACCAGACAGCAAACUGCAGUCCUCGCUUCUUAUGAAUAUUUGAAUGAGUAACUAAAAACAGCUCAGUAAACUCUAAGCAACUAUGACAGCUGAAACUGUCUGGAAACCAGGAGUCCACCAGGACCAUGAUGAAAAGAUCGCCAGUUACCUUGUGCCCUCAUCCUGCUGUGGGUCUACAGAGGGGUGGAAUCAGAUCUAUUUUACUCAGAUAUAAGUUAUGAAAAAUCUGAUUUAUCUCUGCACCUUCGGAAGCUAAACAGCCUCCAAAUCUCCCGUGUUAUUUUGAAUUCAUUAAAAUGCAAUGAUUUCUAACAAUCUUUUCAAGGCAAGAGAAUGCCAUGUUUUUGCAGACCCUGAAAUAUUGAUGCUGUUGUUGUUUUUACUCAUAGAAAAUUGGCCCUAGUCAAUCUUUCGUAUCUUUCAGCCUGUUCCAUGUGAACAGAAUCCCUAAAGCCAAGAUUCUCUGAAUUAUUCCUCCAAAAGCUCUAAUAAAAAGAGUUACCAGAUACA
rnacentral:lncRNA from 12 species